AAUCAACGCUGGCGGCGUGCCUCAGACAUGCAAGUCGAACGAUUAAAGCUCUCUUCGGAGAGUGCAUAGAGUGGCGCACGGGUGAGUAACGCGUAAGUAAUCUACCUUCGAGUGGGGAAUAACGUCCGGAAACGGGCGCUAAUACCGCAUAAUGCAGCGGCAUCGCAAGAUGACAGUUGUUAAAGGAGCAAUCCGCUUGAAGAGGAGCUUGCGGCAGAUUAGCUAGUUGGUAGGGUAAUGGCCUACCAAGGCUACGAUCUGUAACCGGUCUAAGAGGACGGUCGGUCACACUGACACUGAAUAACGGGUCAGACUCCUACGGGAGGCAGCAGUCGGGAAUUUUGGGCAAUGGGCGAAAGCCUGACCCAGCAACGCCGCGUGAAGGAUGAAGUAUUUCGGUAUGUAAACUUCGAAAGAAUAGGAAGAAUUAAUGACGGUACUAUUUAUAAGGUCCGGCUAACUACGUGCCAGCAGCCGCG
rnacentral:rRNA from 1 species